rnacentral:rRNA from 1 species
AACAAACGCUGGCGGCGUGCCUAAUACAUUCAAGUCGAAUGGGGAAAGCUUUCGGGUGAGUACUAGUGGCGCACGGGUGAGGAACGCGUGGAUAAUCUGCCUUAGAGUGGGGGAUAACUAGUCGAAAGAUUAGCUAAUACCGCAUAAGACCACAGGAGCUGCGGCUCAAGGGGUCAACGGUUUUUCGCUCUAAGAUGAGUCCGCGUAAGAUUAGCUAGUUGGUGAGGUAACAGCUCACCAAGGCGACGAUCUUUAACUGGUCUGAGAGGAUGAUCAGUCACACUGGAACUGAGACACGGUCCAGACUCCUACGGGAGGCAGCAGUAGGGAAUAUUGCACAAUGGAGGAAACUCUGAUGCAGCGACGCCGCGUGAGUGAUGAAGGCCUUCGGGUCGUAAAGCUCUGUCGCAGGGGAAUAACACAAUGAAGGUACCCUGUAAGAAAGGAUCGGCUAACUUCGUGCCAGCCGCCGCCGUAACAC